UGGGGAAUUUUGCACAAUGGGCGCAAGCCUGAUGCAGCGACGCCGCGUGAGGGAUGAAGGCCUUCGGGUUGUAAACCUUUUUCGCUCAUGGUCAAGCCGCAGCUUUGGGUUGUGGUGAGGGUAGUGGGUAAAGAAGCGCCGGCUAACUACGUGCCAGCAGCCGCGGUAAUACGUAGGGGGCUAGCGUUAUCCGGAUUUACUGGGCGUAAAGGGUACGUAGGCGGUCUAUUAAGUCAGGUGUGAAAGCGUGAGGCUUAACCUCAUUAAGCACUUGAAACUGAUAGACUUGAGUGAAGGAGAGGAAAGUGGAAUUCCUAGUGUAGCGGUGAAAUGCGUAGAUAUUAGGAGGAAUACCGGUGGCGAAGGCGACUUUCUGGACUUUUACUGACGCUCAGGUACGAAAGCGUGGGGAGCAAACAGG
rnacentral:rRNA from 1 species